AAGUAUAAAUCAGAACGAAAGAAAUUGCUUCCCUAGAACAAAUCCAUUGACUGAGAUAUGCAGUGAAAGGAAUCCAAGCUGGCUGGGAAGAAAAUCACUUGGCCCCCCGAGAUAAAUGUGGUCAAGGAAUCCUGACUGACAACGUCAGCAAAAGCAGAAAGAUUUCGUUGCAGUUUCGGUAAAAACUUCCCUCAUCAAAUGAACUGAAAAAUAAUCCUUUCUCCAGCAUUUUCAGGAAGAGUUUGUGAAGGUUUGAUAUAUCUUCUGCAAAUAUCUGACAGAAUUCACCAACAAAGAUUGUAUUGUAUUCAAGCAUCUAAUCUGGAGAUUAAAAUAUAAUAACCUGCA
rnacentral:lncRNA from 1 species